CCCCUAGACGUUCUGGGCUGCACGCGCGCUACAAUAAUACGCACAGCGAGUAUCACCGAGCUCGAAAGGGCAAGGUAAACAAUAGAAAAGGUACUGUAAUGGUUAUAGAUCCUUGUAAUUAUUGAUCUUCAACGAGGAAUUCCUAGUAAGUAUGUGUCAUCAUCACGCACUGAUUACGUCCCUGCCCUUUGUACACACCGCCCGUCGCUCCUACCGACUGAGUGAGCCGAUGAAACUGCCGGAUGUGGACUAUUCAUAGUCUGCAGAAGAUAUUUGAAUCGUAGCGCUUAGAGGAAGGAGAAGUCGUAACA
rnacentral:rRNA from 1 species